UACGGGGGGGGCAAGCGUUGUUCGGAAUUACUGGGCGUAAAGGGCCAGUAGGCGGCCAACUAAGUCGGAUGUGAAAUCCCCAGGCUUAACCUGGGAACUGCAUCCGAUACUGGAUGGCUUGAAUUCGGGAGAGGGAUGCAGAAUUCCAGGUGUAGCGGUGAAAUGCGUAGAUAUCGAGAGGAACACCUGCGGCGAAGGCGGGUUGCUGGGCUGACACUGACGCUGAGGCGCGAAAGCUAGGGGAGCGAAAGGG
rnacentral:rRNA from 1 species